CAGGUGGACACCGGCGAUCAGCGGGACGGUGAGAACGCGACGCGAUGGCAUUAUUAGCAUGACAUUGAGCUUUGGAAGCUGAUCUGUUUGAGCAGAACGGACAGGUGAGGAGGUGAGAGAGCUGGACGGAGUGAAGAAAUAAAGCGCCGCUGCAUCACCCUGCGUUUCAUUACACGUAAAAACACACCAAAGAACGACGUGAGGUUCUUCAGCCGACGCAAAACUGAAUCCGAAAAGGAAUAACACACUUCAGGAUGUGCGGUUAUUUGGAAAGAAUCAACUUCACAGAGAACUGAAUGUUCAAACAGGUGGCAGGAUGCUGCCUCACAGGUCCGGGGAUCGAACCUGAGCUCGGGUUACUGUCUUACUAGUUCAGGAGACUCAGGGUACAAGGUUUUGAACCACUCCAGUACGCUUAGAAUCGUUGUCCUGUUGGAAAGUGAACCCCACCCUAGUGGCAAGUUUUCUUCUAGGAUUGCCCUGGAUUUGGUACCAUCCAGUUUCCCAGUCAAAUGCUACCACCACCAUUCUUCAAUCUGGG
ensembl:lncRNA